GAGAGAGAGAGAGAGAGAGAGAGAGAGAGAGAGAGAGAGAGAGAGAGAGAGAGAGCCACACUACUGUCAACAGCGAGCAACUAGUGUGUGUGUGUGUGUGUGUGUGUGUGUGUGUGUGUGUGUGUGUGUGUGCAACAUGACACGACUAAAGCCGAACAGCGCCCCGCCUCACCCCGAGCCAUGACUGAAGAAAUUAAGAGGUACGGAAACUAUCAGAAAGAAAGGGGUGACAGGAUCGAACGUAAAGCAAACAUGAAGAGAGACAUGAAGAAAGAGACAUGAUGAAGGUAUUGCAGAGGGAGACAGACUAAAAAGGUAGAGAACGGGACAGCAGGAAUGUAAAGGAGAGGGAAGCAGCAGUAAAUGUAGCUGGGUAUGAGAAGGGAAAAGAGGUAAGCAGGAGACAGAUGAUAGGAAAGGAAGAGAGGACAGGAAAAGGAGAGAAACAAAGGUGGGAAAAGGAGAGAGAAAGGGAGAGAGAAAGGUAGGAAAAGGAGAGAGAGAAGGUAGGAAAGGGAGAUUGAAGGUAGGAAAAAGAGAGAGAGGGUAGGAAAGGGAGAGAAACAAAGGUAGGAAAAGGAGAGAUAUGAAAGGUCGGAAAGGGAGAAAGGUAGGAAAAGGAGAGAGAGAAGGUAGGAAAGGGAGAUUGAAGGUAGGAAAAAGAGAGAGAGGGUAGGAAAGGGAGAGAAACAAAGGUAGGAAAAGGAGAGAUAUGAAAGGUAGGAAAGGGAGAGAGAAAGGUAGGAAAGGGAGAGAGAAAGGUAGGGAAGGGAGAGAAAGGUAGGGAAGGGAGAGAGAAAGGUAGGAAAGGGAGAGAGAAAGGUAGGAAAGGGAGAGAAAGGUAGGAAAGGGAGAGAGAAAGGUAGGAAAAGGAGAGAAAGGUAGGAAAAGGAGAGAUAUGAAAGGUAGGAAAGGGAGAGAGAAAGGUAGGAAAGGGAGAGAGAAAGGUAGGAAAGGGAGAGAGAAAGGUAGGAAAGGGAGAGAGAAAGGUAGGAAAAGGAGAGAGAAAGGUAGGAAAGGGAGAGAGAAAGGUAGGAAAGGGAGAGAGAAAGGUAGGAAAAGGAGAGAGAAAGGUAGGAAAGGGAGAGAGAAAGGUAGGAAAGGGAGAGAAAGGUAGGAAAAGGAGAGAAAGGUAGGAAAAGGAGAGAUAUGAAAGGUAGGAAAGGGAGAGAGAAAGGUAGGAAAGGGAGAGAGAAAGGUAGGAAAAGGAGAGAGAAAGGUAGGAAAGGGAGAGAAAGGUAGGAAAGGGAGAGAGAAAGGUAGGAAAGGGAGAGAGAAAGGUAGGAAAGGGAGAGAGAAAGGUAGGAAAGGGAGAGAGAAAGGUAGGAAAGGGAGAGAGAAAGGUAGGAAAAGGAGAGAUAUGAAAGGUAGGAAAGGGAGAGAGAAAGGUAGAAAAGGGAGAGAGAAGGUAGGGAAAGGAGAGAGAAGGUAGGAAAGGGAGGUAGAAGGUAGGAAAGAGGCAGAAAGUAGAAAAGGGAAACAGAAGGCAGUAAUGAGAGGUAGAAAGUUGAAAAGAAAUGUAGAGGGCAGGAAAAGAAGACAGUAAAAAGAUACAGGAGGUAGAAAAGGGAGAGACAGGAGUUGGGAGAGGGAGGCAAAGGGCAGGGAAGGGAGACAGGAGGUGGGUGUGACUGGAUGCUGCAGCGAGGAGUGGGGUGGGGCAGGAGCAGGUGUACCAAGGUGGGGCAAGGCUUGGCAGGGCGGGGCAACACAAAAGCGAGUCCUAGAUAAGACAAACCAUUCCUUGCGCCCUGUCCCCUGCUGCCCCAAGGAGCUAACACACAGGUGAGUCCCUGUGGCGGGGCCGGGAUACUCGAUUCACGUCCACCAAAUCGUACGCAACAUUCCAAACAGCACUCACAUCAUGGAAAAACAACAAAAACAACAACAACUCAACACUUGAAGAUGAAGCUGAUGUAUAAAAACAAACUAUUUUCAAGAUUAAGAUUGCUAACCAUCAUUUUAUAGUUCAUUUUUUAUACAUCGGCUCAAUAUUCUGAAGUUGUUUAUGUUUCUGGUGUAAGUACUGAUCGGAGUGGUGCAUACGGGUUGAUGAACAUGCCCCAAGUGAGCAGGUACAGAGCAUGGGGCAGGAGGAGGCGGGGCACCAGGGCGGGGCAACAUUACGGGUCAAAGGUGGGGCUCUUACACUGUUGAUGCGCGCGCCCCUCCAGCUCGCGGAUGAGAGCAGCGUGUUCAGCCUCCAGCGGCUUGGAUCCGAGAGUAUUAACACAAUUCAAAGUACUCCUGAAACGCAAUACAAAGGGUCAUGUGUUGCUGCUGAUGACAAUGGUGGUGGUGGUGGUGGUGGUAGUUAUGGUGAUGGUGGUGAUGUUGAUGGUGGUGAUGAUGGAGGUGGGAGUGAUGUUGGUGAGGGUGAUGAUGCUUCUGUUGGUCUACACUACACACACACACACACACACACACACACACACAUACACACACAAAUAC